UAACCUCUUAAUCCUUCACUAACUUGUAACAACUCUAUUACAAGUCACUUUGUAAUAACUCUAUUACAAAGACUUACAACUUGACUAACUCUAACAAAGACACAAAUACAAAGGUUUAUGAUUUACAAAUGUUUCCUACACAAUGCUUCUAACUAAACUAAGUAGGAAUUACAAGUAAAGAACUUUAACAGAGGUGCAACACAACUAGGGGCAUGUAAUGCCCUUGAGAAUCACUUGCAAGAUUGGCACAAACUUGAGAGAAAAUGCUUGAUCGAUUCUUGAAUGUGCAAGUAUUUUGUUUUACCUUUGCUUGAUAUAAAUAACUCAUUUAUGACAUCACUUGAAUGAUGUAAGCAAUUUAGAUAAAGGGCAUUCCCCAUAAAGUUGACUGCUGCACUGUUUUUGCACUGUUGCGUGUGCAAGCAGCAACUUUACAGUUGUGAGGAGUUGACUUGUACAGUCACCACGGGAACUGGUGGCCAUCUGUUCCCUCUGUUGUUGACUCUGAAGAGUUGAACCACGUCCCCGAACUGAGACUUGUUCUUUACGUACAUGAGCAUGUGUAACAGGUUCCUUAUCUGACUCUUAUCAAUAAGUUUGUUAGAUCAUCAAAACAUAACAGAGAUACAUAUAACCUAUCAAUUUUCCCCUUUUUGAUGAUGACAAACUUAUAAUUGAAGUUUUCCCUAAGAGCAAGAAUGGUAUAUCAGUUUCCUGUAUUCCCCCUGAAUCUGUUCCCCAGCUUGUUCCCCUCAAUUAUUUUUCCUUUUUUUGGCAUCAUAAAAAGAUCUAUAGCAAGCAAGAAGUAAAAAGAAGUCUAGCUUGGUUAACUCAUGUCAUAUGUGUGCACACAAUUCUGACUAAAAACAGAGCAAAAGAACAAGGCAUACAAAGUAAAAGGAUGAAGCUUUCAUUAAUUUUUUGAAAAUUAAGCAGGGAACAGUUCCAUUGUUACCAAAACAUCCACAAUAAAAACAACAAAAGGUACCAGUCAUAAACAUCAUUAAGAUGAAAAACGGAAGACGAACACUAGGAACUUGACACUGGAAACAUGACAACUAUUAAGGAGCACCGGAAGGGAGAGCCCUAGAGGCAGAGGAAGAGACAAAGGUUCUAAGAAGAUUGUUCAUACGAGCAUUUGCAGACCCUUGCUCGGUUAGCAACCUUUCCUUCAGGUCUUCAACUUGUCUCCUGAGAGCAGCAUUUUUCUUUGUCAGGCAGGCAACCUCUGUGUUUUGGGCAUUACUGGAACCAGCUGUCUCCUGGGUAUGACUGAACUGACCUUCGAGAAUGGCAUUCCGAGCCUUCAGCUUCCUUAUUUGUUCAGUGACACUGUUUUGAGCGUUGAUCAACUGAGAAAUGGUAGAAUUACUACCUACCCCUCCACUCCUAUUAAUGCACUCACACUCUUCAAAGAUGGUUUUGGAGAAAGAUUGCUUGCGAGUUCCUACGUAAUCUAAAAAUUGAUAGAACUGACCAAAAAAACAAAAAAGAAAUAGUGUAUCAAUUUUGGGAGAUGAAUUAUUCACCCACGUAUAGGCUAACCAUGAAUAUUUUACCUCAAUUGGACUCAGUAAAAAUCAUAUUGCUUCAGAUUUGGUUCCUAAAAAAUUGUUUUACCUCUUGAUUUGAUAGAACGGAACAUGAUUGAAAUCCCAUCGCCAAUCUAAAGAAUUCAAUUCCUUCAAAAUUGGGGAAAAAGAUACCAUGACAACCUUGAUUUGAUAGAUCUGGAAAUAAAAAGCUCCUAAAUUUCAAUCUUAUUUUCAGUGAAGAUGCAGUUGAAAUCUCAUGUCAAUCUAGAGAAGUCAUAUCAUUGGCUAGAAAGAUUAACCUAAUUGCCAAAACUAGGAGCAGAAAUACGUGUUAUUUGAAACUAGAGAUAAGACAACAUGCUGAAUUAUGACCAAAACCCCGUACCUACUACAGAAGUGAUCAGAUCCACCUUUCAGUCUGUUCUUGGAAGUUAAGCGAUAAACUAUUGAUAUAAUUGAUAUUUCUAUUAAAUGAACCAUGACUUCCACACAAAUGACCAUUUUCAGACUCGGGGAGGUAAGAAUUUUCAGAGCCGGAGAAGUAAGAACGCCCAUGAAAACAACAAGUUGAAUUUUGGACAUGUGAAAAGAAAUGGAAGGAGGAACUAGCUCCGAGAGAAAAGGUGAGAGAAGAAUAGUUUAGAGGAGAGACAAAC
rnacentral:lncRNA from 1 species